CCUGAGAAACCCAAAAGAUCGAAUGGGGAGAUUCAUCGUCAGCUCAUUUUAUAUAUAUGCUAGUUAUGAUAUGGGUUACUACUUGUAGUAUUGCCUGUACAUUCUUGUAUAUUUAAUUGUAAGAUGUUGUCGGCGUGCACUUCUCCCCUAGUAGGACGUCGCGACCCGUUGAGUGUUGGUCUACGGCCCAAGUGGGAGCUUUUAAUGAAUUUUAUUCAUUGAAAACCCUGGUGUUUCCUGACUGGCACUCGUCGGUAUUCGUAUGGUAUUGAGCCGCAUAAAUUAUAUGCGUCCAUAUCUGUCGCAAGCGAGGUUAGUUACUGAUAGUACGGACCUGGCGCCGUCGUUGGUACUAAUCAGCUGUUGGUUGUACAGAAUUCUAGGACUGGCUCGCUGAAAUACCGGUCAGCGA
rnacentral:rRNA from 1 species